GGUUAAGCGACUAAGCGUACACGGUGGAUGCCCUGGCAGUCAGAGGCGAUGAAGGGCGUGCUAAUCUGCGAUAAGCGCCGGUAAGGUGAUAUGAACCGUUAUAACCGGCGAUACCCGAAUGGGGAAACCCAGUGUGAUUCGUCACACUAUCAUUAACUGAAUCCAUAGGUUAAUGAGGCGAACCGGGGGAACUGAAACAUCUAAGUACCCCGAGGAAAAGAAAUCAACCGAGAUUCCCCCAGUAGCGGCGAGCGAACGGGGAGGAGCCCAGAGCCUGAAUCAGCAUGUGUGUUAGUGGAAGCGUCUGGAAAGGCGCGCGAUACAGGGUGACAGCCCCGUACACAAAAGCGCAUAUGCUGUGAGCUCGAUGAGUAGGGCGGGACACGUGGUAUCCUGUCUGAAUAUGGGGGGACCAUCCUCCAAGGCUAAAUACUCCUGACUGACCGAUAGUGAACCAGUACCGUGAGGGAAAGGCGAAAAGAACCCCGGCGAGGGGAGUGAAAAAGAACCUGAAACCGUGUACGUACAAGCAGUGGGAGCCCCACCACUAAGCCAGUGGUGAACUCCACAUACGCAUCCUUUGCUGAGGAGACGGUUAACGGAGCGAAAGCGACGUUCAACCUCAAAAGAAGCAGAGGGGGCUUAGUGGUGGGGUGACUGCGUACCUUUUGUAUAAUGGGUCAGCGACUUAUAUUCUGUAGCAAGGUUAACUGUAUAGGGGAGCCGGAGGGAAACCGAGUCUUAACCGGGCGUUAAGUUGCAGGGUAUAGACCCGAAACCCGGUGAUCUAGCCAUGGGCAGGUUGAAGGUUGGGUAACACUAACUGGAGGACCGAACCGACUAAUGUUGAAAAAUUAGCGGAUGACCUGUGGCUGGGGGUGAAAGGCCAAUCAAACCGGGAGAUAGCUGGUUCUCCCCGAAAGCUAUUUAGGUAGCGCCUCGUGAAUUCAUCUCCGGGGGUAGAGCACUGUUUCGGCUAGGGGGCCAUCCCGGCUUACCAACCCGAUGCAAACUGCGAAUACCGGAGAAUGUUAUCACGGGAGACACACGGCGGGUGCUAAUGUCCGUCGUGAAGAGGGAAACAACCCAGACCGCCAGCUAAGGUCCCAAAGUCAUGGUUAAGUGGGAAACGAUGUGGGAAGGCCCAGACAGCCAGGAUGUUGGCUUAGAAGCAGCCAUCAUUUAAAGAAAGCGUAAUAGCUCACUGGUCGAGUCGGCCUGCGCGGAAGAUGUAACGGGGCUAAACCAUGCA
rnacentral:rRNA from 1 species